rnacentral:ncRNA from 1 species
AGAACUGAUAUUCCGACAAGUGGAAUGACGGGGUAACGCCCGGAAACGCCUAUUCUAAGACCACGUCGGGCAUGGCGCAAGCGCAAAGACACAUUAGUAGAGAAGUAGGCGGAAGUCCACCCUAACGGUCCACAUCGAGGAAAGUGUCUCAGCGGUGGGGGUACGGAUGAUACGCUGGAGGUCUAUAAA